rnacentral:rRNA from 1 species
AGUGAACGCUGGCGGUAGGCCUAACACAUGCAAGUCGAACGGCAGCACAGGAGAGCUUGCUCUCUGGGUGGCGAGUGGCGGACGGGUGAGGAAUACAUCGGAAUCUACUCUGUCGUGGGGGACAACGUAGGGAAACUUACGCUAAUACCGCAUACGACCUACGGGUGAAAGCAGGGGAUCUUCGGACCUUGCGCGACUGAAUGAGCCGAUGUCGGAUUAGCUAGUUGGCGGGGUAAAGGCCCACCAAGGCGACGAUCCGUAGCUGGUCUGAGAGGAUGAUCAGCCACACUGGAACUGAGACACGGUCCAGACUCCUACGGGAGGCAGCAGUGGGGAAUAUUGGACAAUGGGCGCAAGCCUGAUCCAGCCAUACCGCGUGGGUGAAGAAGGCCUUCGGGUUGUAAAGCCCUUUUGUUGGGAAAGAAAUCCAGCUGGCUAAUACCCGGUUGGGAUGACGGUACCCAAAGAAUAAGCACCGGCUAACUUCGUGCCAGCAGCCGCAGUAA